GAUGAAGAACGCAGUGAAAUGCGAUAAGUAAUGUGAAUUGCAGAAUUCAGUGAAUCAUCGAAUCUUUGAACGCACAUUGCGCCCGCCAGUAUUCUGGCGGGCAUGCCUGUUCGAGCGUCAUUACAACCCUCAGGCCCCCGGGCCUGGCGUUGGGGAUCGGCGGAGCCCCCCGUGGGCACACGCCGUCCCCCAAAUGCAGUGGCGGUCCCGCCGCAGCUUCCAUCGCGUAGUAGCUAACACCUCGCGACUGGAGAGCGGCGCGGCCACGCCGUAAAACACCCAACUCUUCUGAAGUUGACCUCGAAUCAGGUAGGAAUACCCGCUGAACUUAAGCAUAUCAAUAAGCGGAGG
rnacentral:misc_RNA from 1 species